UUUUGGUCGCUGUAGUAAUUGCAGUAACCCUACCUUCCAGAAGGACUUCAGGCUUAUGCCCCGGGGCCCCUAACCAGGCUUUGAUACCUCCCUUGGCUUUUUCUGUUCUCUUUCUGUUUUUCUAUCUUUCCUGCCUCUUAUCAGCUCCUCCGUGACAGCCGCAGCUGGUUUGCUGGACGUUAUCCUUACUGCUUUGCAAAUGCUUUGCUAACUAAAUUCACGUGUUGCCUUCUCCCCUUUUCUCCUGCAGAAGUUGAUGAUAAUACAGAAGAGUCGGAUGAAAGCUGUGUUUUGGCUUUCUCUACAAGCUUUCAGUUCACUGCCUGCGAGUCUCUCGGUCUCAGGAGUGGCAGCUGCUGUUUUGAUUCCAUUUGUGAAACGCGGAGUACUCAAAGGAAGGUGCCAAUUGGAAAGGACCGAAGGCAUCUGUAAGCUCAGGGUUCUGAAGCACCCUCCAACAACCUGCCAGCAGCAUCUUCCAUCAGCUCCAAGGGGGAAGCAAAUGGACUGAGAAGAACGGGCCAUUAGCAGUGAUUGCACAACCUGACCUCUUUGAUUGGGCGGCAUUUAUUCAUCUCUCAGCCAUUGGAUGCAGAACUGGUAUCGUCUCUCAGGCCUCUGUUGCUUUGCUGCCAAGGUCAGCUCUGCAAGCAAACUUCAUAUUUGACACGUGGCUGUUCCAUGCUUCAGCUAUUUCUCUGGUGUAUUAAAACAAAUAGGCUCCUCUCCAACAGCAAA